ACAUACUCUAGUGAAUGCUGUCUAGUCAGCACUCCCACCUGCUCAACCACUUUGGUGCUCAACAGAAGACGUGGGCAGAUCCUGGCUGCCUAGAUUUGAACCCCAAAGUACGGCCACAGGUGUGUGUCCUUACAAACAUGGAAAUUCUGAUAUCCACGUGUGACCGUUUACAGAUGUGAACUGUGAGAGCUAUGCAUUAUUUUCUUCCUUGUGAAAUACAUUCACCAUUUUCCCACACUGUCUUUCUCCCAAUCGUUUACAUUUUAAAAGUUGGUGGCAUUUAGCAUUACAAUAUAGUUUUUAGGUAACAGAAAGUUCCGGUGGGACUGGUGACUGAACUAGAUGAGGAAUUAACGUAGCCCAGAGAUGGAAGCAGUGGACUUCGUGUCGAAUUUUUCGUGGAGAGGAUGAGUGUGUCUUCAUCUAGGCGAGUAGCGGCUGUGUCCUGCUAGGCAGAAGCGUGGGUUGUAGUCAGUGUUGUCAUAUGGAGGUUUAAACAUGGGUGACAUGGGAACUGUUUGGCGGAGUGCGCUGGGUCGUGUCUAUUGUCUCUCACUCACCGUCUCUGCCAUCCUCUCUACUGCUGGGAUUGGGAAUCUGAAAAUUAUAUUCCAACUCCGUUGUCUUUCUACCUGUUAGGUUCUGCUAACAGUGGGGAGGGGACAUCUGGCAGCAUCUCUCCCAAGCAGCAACGGUAGCAGUGGUGGCAGCAACAGCAGCAGCAGCUGGGGAGUGUCCCUCCAACUUCAGAGUGAGCAGCAGCAGCUGACCAGAUUGGAGGACAUUUCCACUGUCUUCCCUGGCAGCUGUGAUGUGUUGUGCGGUGGCAGCUGAGGAUUGCCUGCGUGUAAUCUUUGAGGUUCCAAGAUGCUUGUUGGAAGUGGAGCCUGGUCAAGCAGCAGAAAGGACAGCUGGAUCCAUGCUGGGUGGGGUGAGGUGGGGUGCUUGUCAGGGAAGUUGGCUUCAGCUGGAACUGGAGGUUGGCUCCAGCAAAGGAGGUUGAACAUCACUGAUUCCUGACCUGCAGCACCCAAAUGGCCACAAAGAGAUGUCAUGGGUUUUGAGGAGGCCACAGAGCCAACAGCUUUAGUGUCUUCAGAAGGAUGAAGAAAACUUGAACAACAUUUUAAAAUAGCUUGAGAUAUAAUUCACAUCCCAGAGAGUGCAUCCAUCUAAAGGGUACAAUUCAAUGGAUUUUAGUAUAUUUACGGAGCUGUGCAUUCAUCACUACAAUUAAUUAUAGAACUUCUUCAUUUACUCAAAAUACCCCAGCACCCCUUAGCUAUCACCCUGAUUCCUCUAUCUCCCCCAGCCCUAGGCAACCAUUAAUCUUUUUUGUAUCCAUAGAUUUGUCUAUCCUAGACAUUUCAUAUAAAUGGAAUCAUGCAAUAUACGACCCUUCUUUCACUUUGUGUAAUGCUGUCAAGGUACAUCCACGUGAUAUCAGUUCCUCAUUCUUUUUAUGGCCAAAUCACAUUCCAUUGUAUGGAUAUAUUACAUUUUAUUUAUCUGUUCAUCAGUUGGUGGACAUUUGGGUUGGUUUCCAUGUUUUUGGCUGUUAGGAAUGAUGUCCCCAUGAACAUUCAUGUACAAGUUUUUGUGUGGACAUGUGUUUUCAUUUCUCUUGGACAUAUGCCUAGGAGUGGAAUUGAGUCACAUGGUAACUUUAUAACCAUUUGAGGAACUUCCAGACUGUUUUUCAAAGUGGCUACACCAUUGUACAUCCCCACCAGCAAUGUACAAGGGUUCCAGUUUCUCCACAUUUUUUUCAACUUUUUUUUUAAUCAUUUGACUUUUUUUUGAGACAGAGUCUCACUCUGUCGCCAGGCUGGAGUGCAGUGGCGUGAUCUCAGCUCACUGCAACCUCCGCCUCCUGGGUUCAAGCGAUUCUCCUGCCUCAGCCUCCCAAGUAGCUGAGACUCCAGGUAUAUGCCACCAUGACCAGCUAAUGUUUGUAUUUUUAGUAGAGACGGGGUUUCACCAUGUUGGUCAGGAUGGUCUUGAUCUCUUGACCUCAUGAUCCACCUGCCUCAGCCUCCCAAAGUGCUGGGAUUACAGGCAUGAGCCACCGUGCCCGGCCUCAUCUGACUUUUUAAUUAAAGCUACCCUAGCAGACAUGAAGUGAUAUCUCAUUAUGGUUUUGAUUUGUAUUUCUCCCAUGGCUAAUAAUAUUCAGGACCUCUUUAUGUGCUUAUUGGCCAUUUGUAUAUCUUUUUUAAAGAAAUAUCUAUUCAGAUCCUUUGCUUAUUUUUGAAUUGGGCUAUUUGUCUUUUUAUUCUUGAGUUGUAAUUGUUCUUUAUAUAUUCUAGAUACAAGCAACUUAUUAUGUUUAUAGUUUGCAAACAAUUUUUUCCCAUUCUUUGGGUUGUCUUUUCACUGUUUUGAUAGUGUCUUUUGAAGCCCCAAAGUUUUUUAUUCUGAUGGCUGGUUUAUCUGUUUUUUUCUUUAGUUGCUCAUGCUUUUGGUGUCAAUCUAAGAAUGCAGUGCCAAAUCCAGGGUCAUAAGGAUUUAUCACUAUGUUUUCUUCUGUGACUUUUAUGAUUUUAGUUCUUCUUUAUAGGUCAUUGAUCCAUUUUGAGUUAGUUUUUUUAUACAGUGUGAAAUAUGGAUCCAACUUCAUUCUUUUGCAUGUGGAAAUUCAGGUGUCCCCACAUCAUUUGCUGAGGGGACUAUUCUUUUUCCAUUGAAAGAAGUUGGCACUCUUGCUCAAAAUCAACUGGCCAUAGAUAUGUGGGUUAAUUUCUGGGCUCUCAGUUCCAUUCUGUUGAUGUAUAGAUCUGUCCUUAUGCCCAUACCACACUGUUUUGAUUACUGUCAUUUUAUAGCAGGUUUUAAAAUUGGGUAGCAUAAAUUAUCCAACUUUUUCAAGAUUUCUUUAGCUAUUUGUGUUUUCUUGCAUUUUCAUAUGCAUUUUAAAAGCAACUUGUCCAUUGCUGAAGUCGAAAUUUUGAUAGGGAUUGCAUUGAAUUUGGAAUCUGGGAGUAUUGCUAUCUUAAUAAUGUUAAGUUUUUCAAUCUAUAAACAUGGGAUGUCUUUCCACUCAUUUAGAUCUUCUUUAGUUUUCAACAAUAUUUUGUAGUUUUCAGAGCAUAAGUUUUGUACUUCUUUUGUUAAAUAUGUUCAUAAGUAUCUUUCUGAUGCUAAUAUAAAUGAGUUUUUUUUUAAGACAAAGUUUUGCUCUGUCACCAAGGCUGGAGUGCAGCGGUGUGAUCUCAGCUCAUUGCAACCUCUGCCUAACGGGUUCAAGUGAUUCCCCUGCCUCAGUCUACUGCGUAGCUGGGAUUACAGGUGCCCACGACCACACCCAGCUAAUUUUUUGUAUUUUUAGUAGAGACAAGGUUUCACCAUAUCGGCCAGGCUGGUCUUGAACUCCUGACCUCAAGUGGUCCACCUGCCUCGGCCUCCCAAAGUGCUGAGAUUACAGGCUUGAACCACUGUACCCAGACUGGAAUUGUUUUCUUAACUUCAUUUUUUAUUUGCUCAUAACUACUGUAUAGAAAUAAACUGAUUUUUGUACACUGAUCACAUAUCCUUGUAAACUUGCUAAACUCAUUUAUUAGUUUAAUCAUUUUCAGUGAAUUCCUUAGGAUUUUCAACGUACAAGAUCAUGUUAUCUGCAAAUGAAGACAAUUGUACUUCUUCCUUUCCAAUAUGGAUGGCUUUUACUUUAUUUCCUUGCCUCAUUGCCCUGGCUGGCCUCUUUAGUACAAUGUUGAACAGAAGCUGUGUGAACAGACAUCCUUGUCUUGUUCCUGAUCUUCUGGGGAAAGCAUUUUGUGUUUCAGCAUUGAGUGAAAGCCCUUUAGCUGUGGCCUUUUCUAGAUGUCCUUUAACAGGUUGAGGAGACCGAGUUCUUCAGAGGAGGAGCUGUGUCAGCUCUGAGGUGACGCACAGCAUUGUCAGCUUUCUGAGUCUGAGGUCCCGGCUGGCUGGGAGGAGAUGAUGUCCUGAAGGAUGUGGACAUGAUGGGCUGGGGCUCUGGGGACUUGAGGGGAGUCCCCGCUGCAGACCUGGGUAUGGGAAUAAAAAGGCAAUAUCAAAGGCAGUAAUUGGACCCGUGGGAGUGGACCAUCUCGGGAAGAGAAAAG
rnacentral:lncRNA from 1 species